CCCUUAGAUGUUCUGGGCCGCACGCGUGCUACACUGAGUGGAUCAGCGGGUCAGGUUGCGCGAAAGCGUUUCCUAAUCUUGAAAUCCGCUCGUGAUGGGGAUUGACGGUUGCAAUUUUCUGUCAUGAACGAGGAAUACCUUGUAAGCGCGGGUCAUCAUCCCGCGCUGAAUACGUCCCUGCCCUUUGUACACACCGCCCGUCGCUCCUACCGAUUGAGUGGUCCGGUGAGGCUUUGGGAUCUGAGCGGAAAGAGCGUUUCGCUCGUUCUGCCCGGAAAACUCAGUCGAACCUUACCAUUUAGAGGAAGGAGAAGUCGUAACA
rnacentral:rRNA from 1 species